GGUGAUGAUCAAUUUUUAACCCCGAGGUCGCCCAGUGACGAUCAAAAUGGGCAACAAACACUCUAAUUUUUUACUGAUA
rnacentral:snoRNA from 1 species